rnacentral:rRNA from 1 species
CCUACGGGAGGCAGCAGUGGGGAAUAUUGGACAAUGGGGGCAACCCUGAUCCAGCCAUGCCGCGUGUGUGAAGAAGGCCCUCGGGUUGUAAAGCACUUUCAGUGAGGAAGAACGCCUGGUGGUUAAUACCCAUCAGGAAAGACAUCACUCACAGAAGAAGCACCGGCUAACUCCGUGCCAGCAGCCGCGGUAAUACGGAGGGUGCGAGCGUUAAUCGGAAUUACUGGGCGUAAAGCGCGCGUAGGUGGCUUGAUAAGCCGGUUGUGAAAGCCCCGGGCUCAACCUGGGAACGGCAUCCGGAACUGUCGAGCUAGAGUGCAGGAGAGGAAGGUAGAAUUCCCGGUGUAGCGGUGAAAUGCGUAGAGAUCGGGAGGAAUACCAGUGGCGAAGGCGGCCUUCUGGACUGACACUGACACUGAGGUGCGAAAGCGUGGGUAGCAAACAGGAUUAGAUACCCCAGUAGUC